rnacentral:rRNA from 1 species
GACGAACGCUGGCGGCGUGCUUAACACAUGCAAGUCGAACGGAAAGGCUCCAGCUUGCUGGAGUACUCGAGUGGCGAACGGGUGAGUAACACGUGGGUAAUCUUCCCUGCACUCUGGGAUAAGCCUGGGAAACUGGGUCUAAUACUGGAUAUGACCUUUCUCCUUAUGGGGUUUGGUGGAAAGUUUUUCGGUGUAGGAUGAGCCCGCGGCCUAUCAGCUUGUUGGUGGGGUGAUGGCCUACCAAGGCGACGACGGGUAGCCGGCCUGAGAGGGUGAUCGGCCACAUUGGGACUGAGAUACGGCCCAGACUCCUACGGGAGGCAGCAGUGGGGAAUAUUGCACAAUGGGCGGAAGCCUGAUGCAGCGACGCCGCGUGAGGGAUGACGGCCUUCGGGUUGUAAACCUCUUUCAGCAGGGACGAAGCGUAAGUGACGGUACCUGCAGAAGAAGCACCGGCUAACUACGUG